AUUGAACGCUGGCGGCAUGCCUUACACAUGCCAGUCGAACGGUAACGGGCCUUCGGGUGCCGACGAGUGGCGAACGGGUGAGUAAUACAUCGGAACGUGCCCGAUCGUGGGGGAUAACGAGGCGAAAGCUUUGCUAAUACCGCAUACGAUCUACGGAUGAAAGCAGGGGACCGCAAGGCCUUGCGCGGACGGAGCGGCCGAUGGCAGAUUAGGUAGUUGGUGGGAUAGAAGCUUACCAAGCCGACGAUCUGUAGCUGGUCUGAGAGGAUGAUCAGCCACACUGGGACUGAGACACGGCCCAGACUCCUACGGGAGGCAGCAGUGGGGAAUUUUGGACAAUGGGCGCAAGCCUGAUCCAGCCAUGCCGCGUGCAGGAUGAAGGCCUUCGGGUUGUAAACUGCUUUUGUACGGAACGAAAAGCCUUCUUUUAAUACAGGAGGGUCAUGACGGUACCGUAAGAAUAAGCACCGGCUAACUACGUG
rnacentral:rRNA from 1 species